AGUUUGAUCCUGGCUCAGAUUGAACGCUGGCGGCAUGCUUUACACAUGCAAGUCGAACGGUAACAGGGAGCUUGCUCCGCUGACGAGUGGCGAACGGGUGAGUAAUAUAUCGGAACGUACCUAGAAGUGGGGGAUAACGUAGCGAAAGUUACGCUAAUACCGCAUACGAUCCACGGAUGAAAGUAGGGGACCUUCGGGCCUUAUGCUUUUAGAGCGGCCGAUAUCUGAUUAGCUAGUUGGUGAGGUAAAGGCUCACCAAGGCGACGAUCAGUAGCUGGUCUGAGAGGACGACCAGCCACACUGGAACUGAGACACGGUCCAGACUCCUACGGGAGGCAGCAGUGGGGAAUUUUGGACAAUGGGCGCAAGCCUGAUCCAGCAAUGCCGCGUGAGUGAAGAAGGCCUUCGGGUUGUAAAGCUCUUUUGUCAGGGAAGAAACGGUGAGGGCUAAUAUCCUUUGCUAAUGACGGUACCUGAAGAAUAAGCACCGGCUAACUACGUG
rnacentral:rRNA from 1 species